AUUGAACGCUGGCGGAAUGCUUUACACAUGCAAGUCGAACGGCAGCACGGACUUCGGUCUGGUGGCGAGUGGCGAACGGGUGAGUAAUGUAUCGGAACGUGCCCAGUCGUGGGGGAUAACGUAGUGAAAAUUACGCUAAUACCGCAUACGAUCUAUGGAUGAAAGCGGGGGAUCGCAAGACCUCGCGCGAUUGGAGCGGCCGAUAUCAGAUUAGGUAGUUGGUGGGGUAAAGGCCCACCAAGCCAACGAUUUGUAGCUGGUCUGAGAGGACGACCAGCCGCACUGGAACUGAGACACGGUCCAGACUCCUACGGAAGGCAGCAGUGGGGAAUUUUGGACAAUGGGCGAAAGCCUGAUCCAGCCAUUCCGCGUGCAGGAUGAAGGCCCUCGGGUUGUAAACUGCUUUUGUACAGAACGAAAAGGUUUCUACUAAUACUAGGAGCUCAUGACGGUACUGUAAGAAUAAGCACCGGCUAACUACGUGCCAGCCGCCGCGGUAA
rnacentral:rRNA from 1 species